rnacentral:lncRNA from 1 species
GUAGAACAAGUGAAUUUAAAGAAUCAUUAAUCAUCCACACUUUCAUACAUAGGUACAAAUUAAACAAAUAUCUUUCUCUUACCCUUUACAUUCUUUUCUCUAUUUCAAACUCUUAUAUACUCUAUAUUUGCCACUACUUUGGUAUUUAUAUAUAUAAUACAUGUGCUCCUUUUGGACUAGUAAAACUAAUGAAAAUUAAAACAAAUUAAAAAAAAGGAAAAAAAAAAAGAAAAGAAGAAAGAAUAGUAGUAACAACUCUAAUGGCCAGGACCACUGGGGCUAGGCCCAGAAGGCAACCUUGCCAGCCAUGUAGCCAUGCUUUGGCGCGCCUUCGCGAACACGGUCGGAUACGCUCCGAAUCCCUGAUCGGCUCCGUUGUCGCACCCCGCCGGCGUUAGUCGCGCCGCCUCGGCUCUCUUAACACCUGCUAAGCACAUGAAUGAGAUGGCCACAAUGAACAAGAUCACCAGCACCCUUCUACAAUCCAUCAUGGAGAGAGAGUUUAGAGAUAGGUGGUGUUAUAUGUAUGAGUUUUGUGUUGUAAGUUGAGAUACAAUGUUGU